rnacentral:rRNA from 1 species
CAUGGCUGUCGUCAGCUCGUGUUGUGAAAUGUUGGGUUAAGUCCCGCAACGAGCGCAACCCUUAUCCUUAGUUGCCAGCGAGUUAUGUCGGGAACUCUAGGGAGACUGCCGGUGAUAAACCGGAGGAAGGUGGGGACGACGUCAAGUCAUCAUGGCCCUUACGAGUAGGGCUACACACGUGCUACAAUGGUAUGUACAGAGGGAGGCAAGCCAGCGAUGGUGAGCGGAUCUCUUAAAGCAUAUCGUAGUCCGGAUCGCAGUCUGCAACUCGACUGCGUGAAGUCGGAAUCGCUAGUAAUCGCAAAUCA